CCUCAGCCAUUAAAAACGACAAAUACCCACCAUUGCUUCAACGUGGAUGGAACUGGAGGAGUUCUGGAAAAAUGUUUCUCGCCAGAACAACGAGGCGAGAAAAUGAAAUAAAAGGCACCCAAAUCAGAAAGGAAGCAGCAAAUCCAUCUGCGUUGCAGGUAACAGAAGAGCCCAUAUAGAAAACCC